UACGUAGGGCGCAAGCGUUGUCCGGAAUUAUUGGGCGUAAAGAGCUCGUAGGCGGUCUGUUACGUCUGCUGUGAAAACCCAGGGCUUAACCCUGGGCUUGCAGUGGAUACGGGCAGACUAGAGGCAGGUAGGGGAGAAUGGAAUUCCCGGUGUAGCGGUGAAAUGCGCAGAUAUCGGGAGGAACACCGGUGGCGAAGGCGGUUCUCUGGGCCUGACCUGACGCUGAGGAGCGAAAGCGUGGGAGCGAACAGG
rnacentral:rRNA from 1 species